rnacentral:rRNA from 1 species
CUACGGGCGGCAGCAGUGGGGAAUUUUGGACAAUGGGCGAAAGCCUGAUCCAGCCAUUCCGCGUGAGUGAUGAAGGCCUUCGGGUUGUAAAGCUCUUUCAGCCGGGAAGAAAUCGUGCAGGCUAAUAUCCUGCAUGGAUGACGGUACCGGACCAAGAAGCACCGGCUAACUACGUGCCAGCAGCCGCGGUAAUACGUAGGGUGCGAGCGUUAAUCGGAAUUACUGGGCGUAAAGCGUGCGCAGGCGGAUGUUUAAGCCAGAUGUGAAAUCCCCGGGCUUAACCUGGGAAUGGCAUUUGGAACUGGACAUCUAGAGUGUGUGAGAGGGGGGUGGAAUUCCACGUGUAGCAGUGAAAUGCGUAGAGAUGUGGAGGAACACCGAUGGCGAAGGCAGCCCCCUGGGAUAACACUGACGCUCAUGCACGAAAGCGUGGGGAGCAAACAGGAUUAGAUACCCUAGUAGUC